GGAUGGAUCACUCCUGAUAACUAUCAACACCCAACCUACGCACUGAGACGUUAACCAACCUCAAUUAACCAAUGAGUCCAUUCAAAAAUUAAAAACUCUUAACGAUGGAUGACUCGACUCUCGCAACGAGGAAGGACGCAGCAAACCGCGAUAAGCAGUAUGACUUGCGUACACUCGUGAAUCACCAGAUUUCUGAACGCAUUUGUACCUUUGGCUUCGGCCUCAGGUAUGUUUGGUUCGGUAUCGUUUCGAUUUGCCAGAUUGACUGUCAAUAUCUAAGCUUGCUUGGAGAUUGAAACUGUUGCUGGUGUUUAGAGCUGUCGCAAAUUUAUUUGGUGUCAGCUGUCUAUUGAUGUCUUCUGAUACAGUACAUUGAGUUCAGUAAUUCAUUACAAGUCUCGAAGUACUGUGUUGCUAAGAAGCUUCUAUCUUAAAUCUUCGAUCCGAGCUCAAGCAAGGCUACCCGCUGAAUUUAAGCAUAUAAUUAAGCGGAGGAAUAGAAACCAACAGGGAUUCCCUCAAUAGUGGCGAACGAAGUGGGAAGAGCCCGAGAUGUGAAUCGAAGUAGUUUACUGCUUCGAGUUGUGCAUCAUGGUCUUUGCCAGUAAAGUCUUUCGUCUAGGUGCCUGGAAAGGCAUGCCAGAGAAGGUGAUAGCCCUGUCUUUGAUGAAAUGACUUUGCGUACGGCACUGAUCGACUGAGUCACGCUCUUUGGGAGUAGAGCGCAAAUAGGGUGGUAACCUCCAUCCAUGGCUAAAUAUUGGCGAGAGAUCGAUAGCAAACAAGUACCCUGAGGGAAAGUUGAAAAGCACUUCGAAAGGAGAGUUAAAAGACCUGAAAUCGUUAAGGGGGAAGCGAGUGGCCGUGACCCUAUGUGGUGUUUCGAUACUUUACUAGAAGGAGUAAACUGUGAAUAAACCCUCAGGUGACUCUGAACGGUGCUGAAUCGGCUCAUUACUAUCUGACAACACUUCAAGUUGCAAUGAUUUUUCGCUGCGACAUGGAGUGACGCUUACCUGCUUGCAGCAAGUUGUCAGAAGCGGCACGUCUACACGACCCGUCUUGAAACACGGACCAAGGAGUUAAACAUAUGUGCGAGUGUAAGGGUGGCAAACCCAUACGCGCAGUGAAAGCGACAGCUGUGAAUACAAAUGCAACAGCGGCCGACUCUUGAAGUUCGAGCUUGAGCAUAUCUGUUUAGACCCGAAAGAUGGUGACCUAUACCUGAGUUGAGUGAAGCCAGGGGAAACUCUGGUGGAGGCUCGUAGCGAUACUGACGUGCAAAUCGUUCGUCAAACUUGGGCAUAGGGGCGAAAGACUAAUCGAACCAUCUAGUAGCUGGUUCCCUC
rnacentral:misc_RNA from 1 species